rnacentral:tRNA from 1 species
GCCUGGGUGGCUCAGUCGGUUAAGCGUCUGACUUCAGCUCAGGUCAUGAUCUCAUGCUUUGUGGGUUUGAGCCCCGCAUUGGGCU